CCCCGCCCCGCCGCCGCCGUCACAUGGAGGGGCCGGGCAGCGCCCGCCCCCUGCCGCCGCGCCCCUGACCAUAGAGGUGGGCCUCCAGGCCCUGAGACUGCAUCUCCUUUGAACACCGUGGCCUUCGUUUCCGAAACCCCAAAGCUGCUGCCUUGACCACUCCCAAGUGAUGACGGAAUGGUUUGGGCUGGAAGGCACCUUUGAAGACCUCUUAAUUCCAGCCCCGUGCCACCGGCAUGGACACCUUCCACUAGACCAGGUUGUUCCAAGCCCCGUGCUGACUGGCCCUGCUGGCAUCAUCCCUUCUGAGCUCCACUACAAGCACUGGUGAUAAUCCCUGCUCCUCACUGCACCCAGGCAAGUCUCCCCAACUCAUACAGCUCUGCCUGACUCUUCCAACCAAAUUUGCUUCUUAAAGAGAUUCUAUGAUUUUAAAACAAAGAUAAAGCUAUCCUGCUGAGCAGUUCCUAUGCUUUAACCUUUGCUAUAUUGCACAGGACCAAAGAGAGAAUUGAAGCUAGCAGCUGACUGGCUGAUUGAAGAGCUGUGACUGGUAUGGAGUGUCUGAUGUUCUGGCCUAGCAAGGCUCUUUCAAACAAGUUUUACUGGGUGUAGCAUAGAAAGAGCUUCUUAACAACAUCCUGCACACAAGAAGGUACCUUCCUAUUCUGCCUUCUCCAUAGGGUCAGUUAUGGGAAAUGCUUCCCUGUGCCUGAAUUGCCACACCAUUUUCAAGAGUGGGGUACAAGGAACACAAAUCCAAAAAUCCAGUUCCACACCUCAGAAUAUUAAAAGCCAUUACAUAAAAUGGUGUAGUUGCAAAUCUGAGUUAUGAUUUCAAUGAUAAUAAAAGGUUUCUGCAUAACUCCAUUCCUCUUUACAAGCCAUAACAGGUAAAACAGAUGUAAUGUGAUUCUUGCAUCAAUAGAGUUAUUAAAUCCCAAUAGGUUUUUUUUAUCAUAGUGAUGCUUUACCUGGAGACACAGUUUGACAUUCCUGGGGUCAAGCUGAGUUUAUGUGCCUGAUUGUUAUAAAAUGCUUUAAGAGUUUGUUACAGUAUCUUUACAUCCAUUCUGUGCAGAUCUAAUGUAAUUAUUGGUGAGAGAUAAUAAAAUAUAGAAUCUGAGAUUGUAGUUUGUAUUGCCCCUUUCCAGCACUGCAACCACAUGUUAACCACAGUAUCCUUCCUGUUGUUUGUGGAAUGGAAACGGUCAAAAAAUAACCUUUAAAAGAGAAAAAAUAAGCACAAUGAACAACAAACAAUAGUUUACCUCCAAGAGAGGAAAUAAACCCCAACACUGAGUAUUUUGUGUGGGCCCAAAAUCUGGUGUUCUUCUCUGGUUCAGCAAAGACACCGAACUAUGCAACUUCUGCCGAGCCCUACCUACCAAGAAAGGAAGUGAGAUCUACUUUGCUCACAGAAAACAAGAGCCUAGCUGUGUGGGUUGCAUGGCACUUUCACUGUUUAGAUGGUAAAAGAAAAUUACUGUAAUUGUUUAUGACGUGUAUCAAAACCUGCUAAGCCUGAAGUAAAUGACAGAAGUCUCAC